rnacentral:sRNA from 1 species
CAAGAUCUUCCUGGUGUCCGAGUGCGCCCUGAUGCUGGCGCAGGGCACGGUGGGCGCCUACCUGAAUAAAUAUAUUCCAGCUAAGUGGACGUGGAUGGUUUUCUGCAUAAACUCUUAUUGUUCCUUGACUGAUGUCAUAACACUGGAGAUGCAUGCUCCUUAGAUGAAUAUCUAGGAUCCUGGAAUUCACAAGUGAAUGCAUUUUGUGUGCCAUUUCCCUAGAACUGUAAAUGACUCACCCCAAGGAGCUGCUGUCUAGAUGAGAAACAAAACCUCACACUAUUGCUGCUGCUGCUUCAUCAUGGGGAAAUGACUUCUGGGCUUAGGUGAUUAAGUCUCUUUCUACCACUUUACUACAGGAAGACAUGUCCUUGGCACAUCAGACAGAACACUGAAGUUAUCUUGCAAAUUACUUUAAUGGAAUUAA